CUUGAAUUCAUCCUUUAUGCCUUUAACAAAGUAACCAAGCACAUGCUCUAGCGAUAAUCAAUUUAGGCACAUCCCACAGAUUCCAGCUUCUCUGCCACCAACCACCAGGCAUGAUCUAAGCAAGCUCUUUCACCUCUUGGAGCCUUAAUUUUCUCAUCUACAAAAUGGAAUAACGCGAUCAUCCUUGAAGCCAUGAAUAUCAAUUAUUACAGAAAUGAAAAGGGAUCCUGCACCCAAAUUCAAAUCAAGCAAGUUCACCUAGAGGUUGCCGUGGGGUGGAGGGCCCAGAUCUGGGCUGUUUGGAUCUCUCUGCAGGAUGAAAGGGAUUUCCUGGACCUGGCUUUGCUGUCCCUUGCUCCUUUUGCCUGCACAGUGGCAGCAGCUGUGGCCAGAGGGACACCAGUGGACACAGAGGCCCAGGGAGAGGAGCAGAGGCCAGCAGGAAACAGCAAAUGCAGAGGCCCAAAGUGACCAGGACACCGUCCUUGUGCACAUCCUGGGAGGAGCCGACGUCUAAAGAAGGGCUGAAGCCUGAAAAUCUGGCAUGACUAGAGCUCAAAGUCAUGGCUGCUUGGGGCACUGUUAGAAAUGUGCCUCCUUGUGUUCUCCCAGUGAUGUGAUAAAGGUGGCAUCUCACUGAAAAGGACCAGGG
rnacentral:lncRNA from 1 species